rnacentral:rRNA from 1 species
UGGGGAAUAUUGGACAAUGGGCGAAAGCCUGAUCCAGCGACGUCACGUGAAUGAUGAAGACCUUAGGGUUGUAAAAUUCUUUUAGUGGAGAAGAUAAUGACGGUAUCCACAGAAAAAGUCCCGGCUAACUUCGUGCCAGCAGCCGCGGUAAUACGAAGGGGGCAAGCGUUAUUCGGAAUUAUUGGGCGUAAAGCGUGCGUAGGCGGCUUUAUAAGUUGGAAGUGAAAGCCUUUGGCUCAACCAAAGAAUUGCUUACAAAACUGUAAAGCUAGAGUAUUAGAGAGGAUAGAAGAAUUUCUGAUGUAGGGGUGAAAUCCGUAGAUAUCAGAAAGAAUAUCGAAGGCGAAAGC